GGAUGUGAGGGCGAUCUGGCUGAGACAUCUGUCACCCCAUUGAUCGCCAGGGUUGAUUCGGCUGAUCUGGCUGGGUAAGGCGGGGUCCCCUUCCUCCCUCACCGCUCCAUGUGCGUCCCUCCUGAAGCUGUGCGCUCAGUCCAAGAGGACAACCUUCCCUGAUAGAGGCGUACCAUUCAUUGGUCCAAGGGUAUACGGUAGCUGCGCUCCCCUGCUAGAACCUUCAAACAAGUUCAAGGUCCAUUUGUAAUACUGACCUCCAUUUGACUGCUUUUGUU
rnacentral:snRNA from 1 species